rnacentral:rRNA from 1 species
UUCCUACGGGGGGCAGCAGUGAGGAAUAUUGGUCAAUGGUCGGGAGACUGAACCAGCCAAGCCGCGUGAGGGAUGAAGGUACAGAGUAUCGUAAACCUCUUUUGUCAGGGAACAAAGGCGGGGACGUGUCCCCGGAUGAGUGUACCUGAAGAAAAAGCAUCGGCUAACUCCGUGCCAGCAGCCGCGGCAAUACGAAGGAUGCGAGCGUUAUCCGGAUUUACUGGGUGUAAAGGGUGCGUAGGUGGCAGGGUAAGUCAGAUGUGAAAGCCCGGGGCCCAACCCCGGGACUGCAUUUGAAACUGUCC